AUGAACGCUGGCGGCGUGCUUCACACAUGCAAGUCGAACGGAAAGGCUCCUGCUUGCAGGGGUACUCGAGUGGCGAACGGGUGAGUAACACGUGGGUGAUCUGCCCUGCACUUCGGGAUAAGCCUGGGAAACUGGGUCUAAUACCGGAUAGGACCACAUUUUGGAUGGUGUGGUGGAAAGUUUUUCGGUGUGGGAUGAGCUCGCGGCCUAUCAGCUUGUUGGUGGGGUAAUGGCCUACCAAGGCGUCGACGGGUAGCCGGCCUGAGAGGGUGUACGGCCACAUUGGGACUGAGAUACGGCCCAGACUCCUACGGGAGGCAGCAGUGGGGAAUAUUGCACAAUGGGCGCAAGCCUGAUGCAGCGACGCCGCGUGGGGGAUGACGGCCUUCGGGUUGUAAACUCCUUUCGCUAGGGACGAAGCGCAAGUGACGGUACCUGGAGAAGAAGCACCGGCUAACUACGUG
rnacentral:rRNA from 1 species